rnacentral:rRNA from 1 species
UUAGUGGCGGACGGGUGAGUAACGCGUGGAAAACCUGCCGUAUACUGGGGGAUAACACUUAGAAAUAGGUGCUAAUACCGCAUAAGCGCACGGCUUCGCAUGAAGCGGUGUGAAAAACUCUGGUGGUAUACGAUGGUUCCGCGUCUGAUUAGCUAGUUGGUGGGGUAAUGGCCUACCAAGGCAACGAUCAGUAGCCGGCCUGAGAGGGUGAACGGCCACAUUGGAACUGAGACACGGUCCAAACUCCUACGGGAGGCAGCAG